GAUGAAUGCUGGCGGCGUGCCUAACACAUGCAAGUCGAGCGGCAGCGCGGGGUGCUUGCACCCUGUCGGCGAGCGGCGAACGGCUGAGUAACGCGUAGGAAUUUGCCCCAAAGUGAGGAAUAACUUCCCGAAAGGGUAGCUAAUGCCGCAUAUGUUCUUCGGAUUAAAGGAUUUAUCCGCUUUGGGAGAAGCGUGCGUUGGAUUAGGUUGUUGGUAGGGUAAUGGCCUACCAAGCCGACGAUCCAUAGCUGGUCUGAGAGGAUGAGCAGCCAGACUGGAACUGAGACACAGUAGAGAAUCCUACGGAAGGCAGCAGUGAGGAAUGUACCACAAUGGGCGAAAGCCUGAUGGAGCAACGACGCGUGAAGGAUGAAGGCAUUCGGGUUGUAAACUUCUAUUAUGAGUGAAGAAUAUGACGGUAACUAAUGAAUAAGCGCCGGCUAACUACGUG
rnacentral:rRNA from 1 species